UCGAGAGAAACUUGACCAACUGCACACCUUUCAGCUGAAAGUUGACCAAGCAGCUGUGAUCAUAGUAUUAGUUUCUGCUGCCUAUACAAAGUCAGCAUUUUCACACCAACAGGUAUUUUACUGUGAGCAUAGGAAGAGAGUCGUCCUUGUGAACUGUGAUUCUGCCACAAUACCAAAAUGGUUUCGGCUAUUGAUGGGAAAUGAUAUGAUUAUGAAAAAGAACAAUCCUGAAU